rnacentral:rRNA from 1 species
UACAGAGGGUGCGAGCGUUAAUCGGAUUUACUGGGCGUAAAGCGUGUGUAGGUGGUUGGAAAAGUCGAUUGUGAAAUCCCCGGGCUUAACCUGGGAACUGCUUUCGAUACUGUCUGACUAGAAUUCGGUAGAGGGAGGCGGAACUCCAGGUGUAGCGGUGAAAUGCGUAGAUAUCUGGAAGAACACCAAUGGCGAAGGCAACCUCCUGGGCCUGAAUUGACACUGAGACACGAAAGCGUGGGGAUCAAACAGG